AAAUUGAAGAGUUUGAUCAUGGCUCAGAUUGAACGCUGGCGGCAGGCCUAACACAUGCAAGUCGAGCGGUAGCACAGAGAGCUUGCUCUCGGGUGACGAGCGGCGGACGGGUGAGUAAUGUCUGGGAAACUGCCUGAUGGAGGGGGAUAACUACUGGAAACGGUAGCUAAUACCGCAUAAUGUCGCAAGACCAAAGUGGGGGACCUUCGGGCCUCAUGCCAUCAGAUGUGCCCAGAUGGGAUUAGCUUGUAGGUGGGGUAACGGCUCACCUAGGCGACGAUCCCUAGCUGGUCUGAGAGGAUGACCAGCCACACUGGAACUGAGACACGGUCCAGACUCCUACGGGAGGCAGCAGUGGGGAAUAUUGCACAAUGGGCGCAAGCCUGAUGCAGCCAUGCCGCGUGUGUGAAGAAGGCCUUCGGGUUGUAAAGCACUUUCAGCGGGGAGGAAGGCGGUGAGGUUAAUAACCUCAUCGAUUGACGUUACCCGCAGAAGAAGCACCGGCUAACUCCGUGCCAGCAGCCGCGGUAAUACGGAGGGUGCAAGCGUUAAUCGGAAUUACUGGGCGUAAAGCGCACGCAGGCGGUCUGUCAAGUCGGAUGUGAAAUCCCCGGGCUCAACCUGGGAACUGCAUUCGAAACUGGCAGGCUAGAGUCUUGUAGAGGGGGGUAGAAUUCCAGGUGUAGCGGUGAAAUGCGUAGAGAUCUGGAGGAAUACCGGUGGCGAAGGCGGCCCCCUGGACAAAGACUGACGCUCAGGUGCGAAAGCGUGGGGAGCAAACAGGAUUAGAUACCCUGGUAGUCCACGCCGUAAACGAUGUCGAUUUGGAGGUUGUGCCCUUGAGGCGUGGCUUCCGGAGCUAACGCGUUAAAUCGACCGCCUGGGGAGUACGGCCGCAAGGUUAAAACUCAAAUGAAUUGACGGGGGCCCGCACAAGCGGUGGAGCAUGUGGUUUAAUUCGAUGCAACGCGAAGAACCUUACCUGGUCUUGACAUCCACAGAACUUAGCAGAGAUGCUUUGGUGCCUUCGGGAACUGUGAGACAGGUGCUGCAUGGCUGUCGUCAGCUCGUGUUGUGAAAUGUUGGGUUAAGUCCCGCAACGAGCGCAACCCUUAUCCUUUGUUGCCAGCGGUCCGGCCGGGAACUCAAAGGAGACUGCCAGUGAUAAACUGGAGGAAGGUGGGGAUGACGUCAAGUCAUCAUGGCCCUUACGACCAGGGCUACACACGUGCUACAAUGGCAUAUACAAAGAGAAGCGACCUCGCGAGAGCAAGCGGACCUCAUAAAGUAUGUCGUAGUCCGAGUCUGCAACUCGACUCCAUGAAGUCGGAAUCGCUAGUAAUCGUAGAUCAGAAUGCUACGGUGAAUACGUUCCCGGGCCUUGUACACACCGCCCGUCACACCAUGGGAGUGGGUUGCAAAAGAAGUAGGUAGCUUAACCUUCGGGAGGGCGCUUACCACUUUGUGAUUCAUGACUGGGGUGAAGUCGUAACAAGGUAACCGUAGGGGAACCUGCGGUUGGAUCACCUCCUUACCUUAAAGAA
rnacentral:rRNA from 1 species